rnacentral:misc_RNA from 1 species
UCCCCGAUGAAUCGGGGCAGUCUCCCGUGAGUGAUACAACACAGGACAAGGGUUGCGCUCGUUUGCCGACUGAACGGAACACCUCACGGCACGAGCUGACGACGACCGUGCAGCACCUGUCUUCCGGCUCCCUUGCAGGCACGGCCCAAUUUCUUGGGCCUUCCGGAGAUGUCAAGCCCAGGUAAGGUUCCUCGCUUAGUGUCGAAUUAAACCACAUGCUCCACCACUUGUGCGAGCCCCCGUCAAUUCCUUUGAGUUUUAGCCUUGCGGCCGUACUUCCCAGGCGGUUCGCUUACCGCGUUAGCUGCGCUACUCGGAGGGUCGAUACUCCAAAUAGCUAGCGAACAUCGUUUACGGCGUGGACUAC